CAGUCGCCGCGGUAAUACAGAGGGUGCGAGCGUUAAUCGGAUUUACUGGGCGUAAAGCGUGCGUAGGCGGCUUCUUAAGUCGGAUGUUAAAUCCCUGAGCUUAACUUAGGAAUUGCAUUCGAUACUGGGAAGCUAGAGUAUGGGAGAGGAUGGUAGAAUUCCAGGUGUAGCGGUGAAAUGCGUAGAGAUCUGGAGGAAUACCGAUGGCGAAGGCAGCCAUCUGGCCUAAUACUGACGCUGAGGUACGAAAGCAUGGGGAGCAAACAGGAUUAGAUACCCGCGUAGUCCCUGUCUCUUAUAC
rnacentral:rRNA from 1 species